rnacentral:rRNA from 1 species
UACAGAGGUCCCAAGCGUUGUUCGGAUUCACUGGGCGUAAAGGGUGCGUAGGCGGUCGGGUAAGUCUGAUGUGAAAUCUCACAGCUUAACUGUGAAACUGCAUUGGAUACUAUCCGGCUAGAGGAAUGGAGGGGGGACUGGAAUACUUGGUGUAGCAGUGAAAUGCGUAGAUAUCAAGUGGAACACCAGUGGCGAAGGCGAGUCUCUGGACAUUUCCUGACGCUGAGGCACGAAAGCCAGGGGAGCAAACGGG